rnacentral:rRNA from 1 species
CUUGCUUCUCUUGAGAGCGGCGGACGGGUGAGUAAUGCCUAGGAAUCUGCCUGGUAGUGGGGGAUAACGUCCGGAAACGGACGCUAAUACCGCAUACGUCCUACGGGAGAAAGCAGGGGACCUUCGGGCCUUGCGCUAUCAGAUGAGCCUAGGUCGGAUUAGCUAGUUGGUGGGGUAAUGGCUCACCAAGGCGACGAUCCGUAACUGGUCUGAGAGGAUGAUCAGUCACACUGGAACUGAGACACGGUCCAGACUCCUACGGGAGGCAGCAGUGGGGAAUAUUGGACAAUGGGCGAAAGCCUGAUCCAGCCAUGCCGCGUGUGUGAAGAAGGUCUUCGGAUUGUAAAGCACUUUAAGUUGGGAGGAAGGGCAGUAAAUUAAUACUUUGCUGUUUUGACGUUACCGACAGAAUAAGCACCGGCUAACUCUGUGCCAGCAGCCGCGGUAAUACAGAGGGUGCAAGCGUUAAUCGGAAUUACUGGGCGUAAAGCGCGCGUAGGUGGUUCGUUAAGUUGGAUGUGAAAUCCCCGGGCUCAACCUGGGAACUGCAUUCAAAACUGACGAGCUAGAGUAU